GUGUCAUCCUGCUCUGUUCCACCUGGGAUGCAAAUCAUCCCUUUGUCCAGCAGAUCCACACCAUAGACACUCCCCACCGUGAGUCACUCGGGUGCUGCCUGAGUUAUCAGAUCAACCAUCACAGUAUCCACAGCGCUGUGUUCAAGGAACUCUUAUUUUACAUGGUUAUAACCCCCAACCACAAGAGGAGUGAUGCUGACAAUUCGGAUCUGCCUAAGAAAAGCCAUAAAGUCCUUCCUUUAAGUGAAAAGUGAAAGUUCUCGACUUAAUAAGGAAGGAAAAAAAUAACUUCAUGCUGAGGUUGCUAAGAUCUAUGAUAAGAAGGAAUCUUCUAUCUGUGAAAUUGUGAAGAAGGAAAAAGAAAUUUGUGCUAGUUUUGCUGCUGCAAAAGCUACUGCCACAGUGCACGGAAAUGCCUCUUGAAUGGGAGAAGCUGCUGCUCCCCCAAAUUGCUGGGGAAGAAAGGGAGUUCCUGAUCUUUCUUAUUGAGGCUCAUGGAGCUUCUGUCCUGGAGAUUCAGUAUACUUCAGUAAUGGCUCUGGAGAAGAGAACUCAGGAUCCUCAAGACCCAAUGGCUCGUGAUGAUAAAAGCCUUUGGGUCUACCGACAUUUUCCCUACGUGCUCAGACAUGUCUGCAUGCAUUUAUUGGCAUAUUUUUCCAUACUCAAAGCAAGUUGCUAUGUGUUAGUACUAAAGCAACCCAUAAUAGUAAAAACGAAUUUCUGCACCAAGAGAAUGAAUCGGCAGCUGAGAAAGUCAGAGUGAAGAGGCCCCAGUAAUAUCUCUACCUACUUGAAGGUUAAAUAUUCCUAAGACUCUAGGAGGAAAGAGGAGAGAAAGUGGGCCCUGUUCUUUCCUCCAGGAUGUAAGGUUUUUCCAGGCUGCUUUGAAAAGUCUCAAUUACUCCAGGCUAUAGAAGAAUACAAUCAGAGGUGAGUUCCCUGAAAUCAAGGACACUGCCUUAUCUAAUGGUGCUGGGAGUGCAGCGAACUUGCUGGGGACAGUUUGAAGGAUCAUCUUAAGCUCUGAAACCAGGUUGCUGCCACCUGCUACAGAUCACCCACAGCCAAUGUCCUUGGCUGAGUGACACAGCUUCCCCGUGACCGCCACUGAUCCAGCCACCAAGUAUGCAGCCCAACCUAUGAAGCUGAGCCCAGAAGUGGCUCAAAAAAACAAGCCACAACCCAGAACUGAAUCACAACAGCCUUUUCCUUUAACACUAUACUUGCUCUAUUUAACCUCCGCCAUGGCCAAUUCAAUAGAUUCACAGAAAAUAUCAGCAGGACGCCUUGGUUCUCAACACCAAGUCUGGAAAGCUGGGUUUACACGCCCCACCUGAGCAAGCCUGAUCGGUGAUUGUGUUGGGCUCAUUCCUCACUUGGCCCCUUCAAGCAGAGAUAGGCCCUGCAAGAACUCUCUCUAGGAAUUGUUUUCUCAAUAUUUUAAAAUCCACUUUUCCUAUAUCCUAUCAAUGGGCACGGAGUGAGAGUGAUACAGGCAUGUGGAAUUUCACAAGGCUAGAUGUGCCAGCUUCAAGACUACUGAGCUUUAGGGGAAACCUGAGGCUCAGAGGUCAUCUUGCCUACAGUGACUAUUUGCAGGACUGAGCUCCCAGAGGUCACUGCGUGCCUUGGCUCAUGGCUCCUUUCUUCACCUUCAAAGUCAGCAAAACGGCAGAUCUUCCUGGCCCUUCUUCAGCUGUCGUGUUGUCCCCUGACCACGACCUCAGCUGGGGAAGCUUCUCCUCUUUGAAGGAUUCGUUUGAUUAGAUUGGACCUGCAGGAGUACCUCAAGAUCACCUUCUUAUCUCAAGAUUCUUAACCUGAAUCACAUCUGCAACGCGCUUUUGCCACAUAGGGAUCAUAUUCACAAGUUGUGGGGAUUGGGCUGGGGACAUUUCUGUUGAACUGUCAUUCCACCAUCACUGAUUGCCACAUUCCAAGUGCCAGAGUAAAGAAUGAA
ensembl:lncRNA novel transcript